UAAGGGACAAUGCAGAGUGACUGAGGAGGA
rnacentral:piRNA from 1 species